CCAGGUCCCACAGAGUAAUCAAGUUACAGAAUGACUGCACUAAGAAGGUGAUGAGGAAGAGAAAUAGGAAGAAGAAGGGGAAGAAGAUGAGGAAGCAGAGAAGGAGCUACCGCUGCUGCUACUACUGCAGACAUCUGUCUGCAAACCAGGAAGUGAGCCCUCACCGGACACCAGAUCUGUAAGCACCUUGAUAUUGGACUCCCCAGCCUUGAGAACUGUAAGAAAUAUGUGUUUACUGUUUAAGCCACCCACUCUAUAAUUUGUUACAGAUGCUCUAGCUGACUAAAACAAAAAACAAAACAAAACAAAAUCCAAAUUGAUUUCUCAAAUGUUAUUACUGCCCAGGACAAGCCAAGGAGUUUGGACGGCAUCCCAUGGAUGACUGGGGAUGAUUGCAAUGUUUAUGCAGGGCAUGAACCCAUGCAUGUUUGCUUUGAAAAACUAUCAUGUGUAGCAGUGGGUUGAGAAAGUCUAGAGCAGUGGUUCUCAAAAUGGGAUCCCCAGACCGCGACAUCAGCAUCACCUGGGAAACUUGUUAGAAGCAAUUCUCAGGCUCUACCUCAGACCUGCUGAGUCAGAAACCAUGAGUGGGACCCAGAUGCUAUUUAACAAGCUCUCCAGGUGAUUCCGAUGCGCUGAAGGCGGAGAACCCAGGGUGUAGAAGCAGGUAGGCCAGAGGGAGUUGUACAGUGCAUCUCUGAUUAAGACAUCUUAUCUCUGCUCCUGAAAGCCCAUUGAAAUGAUACUAA
rnacentral:lncRNA from 10 species